rnacentral:lncRNA from 13 species
AGGCUGUAAUCGCUGCCAAAGGUGCUCCAAAAAAGUACUGAGUAAAGGGUCUGAAUACUUAUGUAAAUGUGAUGUUUCAGUUGGUAAUUUUUAAUACAUUUGGAGAAAUAAAAUCUAAAAACAUGUUUUUGCUUUGUCAUUAUGGGGUAUCGUCUGUAGAUUGGUGAGGGAAAAAAACUAUUGAAUCCAUUUUAUAAUAAGGCUGUAACGUAACAAAACGUGGAGAAGUCAAGGGGUCUGAAUACUUUCUGAAUGCUCUGUGUGUGAAUUUAGGAAAUCUACUNNNNNNNNNNUCCAGAGAUGGCAUCAGUGAAGCUGGAAGACUGCAGUCAAACACUGGAGCUGAAUGUCAACAUUAAAGAUGAAGAAGAGGAGGAGAAGAUUGGGAAAUCUGUUUCUCAUGUGAGUCCAAACCUACAGUCACUGGGUCCUGAUUGUGACAGGGGAGCCCAGUUUGCUCUGCAGGAUCCAGAGAUGGCAUCAGUGAAGCUGGAAGACUGCAGUCAAACACUGGAGCUGAAUGUCAACAUUAAAGAUGAAGAAGAGGAGGAGAAGAUUGGGAAAUCUGUUUCUCAUGGUAAGAACAGAUUCUAACUAUAUCUUCAUAAAUUAGACCUCCUUAAGUUAUGACCAGCCUAUUGAUAGGUUGACUUCUGUAAUUCUGACAUCACAUCCCUGAACAACUGGGCUAUCUGGAGUGAUCAGAGAGCAGACUAAAGAAGUGAAGUAGACAAACUGCCAGUGUUUUGAAGUUCUAUGAAAUGAGUCUGUAGUUACUAACCCUUUUGAUUAGAGGUCGACCGAUUAUGAUUUUUCAACGCUGAUACCGAUUAUUGGAGGACCAAAACAGUUGAUACCGAUUAAUCGGCCAAUUUUUUAAAAUGUAUUUGUAAUAAUGACAAUUAAAACAAUACUGAAUGAACACUUAUUUGAACUUAAUAUAAUACAUCAAUAAAAUCAAUUUAGUCUCAAAUAAAUAAUGAAACAUGUUCAAUUUGGUUUAAAUAAUGCAUAAACAAAGUGUUGGAGAAGAAAGUAAAAGUGCAAUAUGUGCCAUGUAAGAAAGUUAACGUUUCAGUUCCUUGCUCAGAACAUGAUAACAUAUGAAAGCUGGUUCCUUUUAACAUGAGUCUUCAAUAUUCCCAGGUAAGAAGUUUUAGGUUGUAGUUAUUAUAGGAAUUAUAGGACUACACUAUACUAUUUGUAUUUCAUUUAGCUUUGACUAUUGUAUGUACUUAUAGGAACUUUAGUAUUGCCAGUGUAACAGUAUAGCUUCCGUCCCUCUCCUCGCUCCUCCCUGGGCUCGAACCAGGAACACAACGACAACAGCCACACUCGAAGCAGCGUUACCCAUGCAGAGCAAGGGAAACAACCACUCCAAGGCUCAGAGCAAGUGACGUUUGAAAUGCUAUUAGCGCUCGCUAACUAGCCAGCCAUUUAACUUCGGAUACACCAGCCUCAUCUCGGGGGUUGAUAGGCUUGAAGUCAUAAACAGUGCAAUGCUUGACGCACAACGAAGAGCUGCUGGCAAAACGCACGAAAGUGCUGUUUGAAUUAAUGUUUACGUACCGGCUUCUGCCCACCACCGCUCAGUCAGAUACUUAGAUACUUGUAUGCUCAGUCAGAUUAUACGCAACGCAGGACACGCUAGAUAAUAUCUAGUAAUAUCAUCAACCAUGUGUAGUUAACUAGUGAUUAUGAUUGAUUGAUUGUUUUUUAUAAGAUAAGUUUAAUGCUAGCUAGCAACUUACCUUGGCUUACUGCAUUCGCGUAACAGGCAGUCUCCUUGUGGAGUGCAACAAGAGGCAGGUCGUUAUUGCGUUGGACUAGUUNNNNNNNNNNCCACCUGUGGUAAAUUCAAUUGAUUGGACAUGAUUUGGAAAGGCACACACCUGUCUAUAUAAGGUCCCACAUUUGACAGUGCACGUCAGAGCAAAAACCAAGCCAUGAGGUCGAAGGAUUUGUCCGCAGAGCUCUGAGACAGGAUUGACUCUUCCUAGAGCUGGCCCCCCGGCCAAACUGAGUAAUCAAGUAGAAGGGCCUUGGUCAGGGAGGUGACCAAGAACCCGAUGGUCAUUCUGACAGAGCUCCAGAGUUCCUCUGUGGAGAUGGGAGAACCU